GGCACGUACCCUCCUGGCAACGGAUCGCCUCAAAGGGGUGGUGUACUCUCGGGUGGCGCGGACCUGUUCAUGCAGUGGAGGAUCCGUGGGAAUAGUAGACAUCAAGGUUUACGAGAAACAUAUGUCGUGUGGUUAGAGAUCCUCAGCUGAGUAAAUCGAUUCGGAUCGCCGUUAUAUCCCCGGACAGUGGAGACUUGAGCUCCGACCUACAACCUAAGUCAGGAUGUGAACACGAUGGAUAAAAAUGAUGUUGUCUUGAUGUAAUGUGAAAUUAGACUAGAUGCAAAUAGAGUCUAUUAAUACUUAAUAUGGCGUUAAAAGAUUGAAAGUAAGGACUCACUUUAGUAAGCCAUUUCUGCAAAAGUAUAAGUUGAUUUUUGCUAAAGCCUCUCCUUGACUCCUAUUUAUCCAGCAUCCCCUUGAGAGUCUUUUCCUUAGUCGGGUAAGACUUGCUGAGUAUUCCAUACUCAUGGUUUAUCCCUUUGUUGUUUUUAGGUGAGGAAACGACAAAUUUUUGUUGCUUUUGCUCCAAGGUGGUACCAAAUGAAGGAAAACAGGAGUGAAGAUGCGGGAGGACUUGGUCCUCCAUAUAGGAUCUUUUUGUUUUAAAGCUAUCAGGAGGAGUCUGUGCCUCCCUUGAUAUGUGUAACUACUCAGCACUCGUUUAUAGCUCUGGUCUGUAAUAAGUAACUUGAUCUUACUUUCUAAAUAAAUGAAAGUUUAUAUAAUUGCUUCCGCACUUCUAUAUCUCCGAUGUUCUAUAAUGUCUGCAAGACGGGUGAGACGUUCCUGGUAAGGUAAGGAAAGAUACCGAACUUGUCAAGUGACUUAGGAACAUCUACAGGGUGUCUGAAGUCCGUUGGACAAGGACAACUGUAGGUGGGCCUAAUUACUUGGGAGGUUCCGUCACAGCUGGUAUCGGAGCGUAGCCCUUCUUUGCAGAUAUUAUGAGGCAUCUUCAAAAGGAUUUUCAAAAGUCUUACCUAAAAAUUCUUUUCUCUUCUUACCUAAGUAUUCUGAAGAGUCUAUCUUAAAGACCAGAUAGGAAGAGUGCAAUGUAUAGAAGGUUGAAUCGACUAAGGUUGAUUCUGUACUUACACAUGCAUCAUUCUAAGCACUAUAUUAAUAAAAUUUCCCCCUUAGAGAAAUGUUGUCGCGCAUCAGAAAGACCGCGCGCAAAUCUACUAGACCCAUUGGCAUACCUGCCAUUAACUUGCCCCAAGACAUGAAGAAAGUGGCAUUGGUAACAACGAUCCUAUCGGGAUCUGGAAGCACAAGUCGAACUGCUUCAAUCAGAACUCCGUCACAGGAAUGAUCUAUGAGUCGCGGAUGCAGCCAUCCGCUACUUGCAAGACCAACUCGUGAAACGAGAUUUAGCACUCGAUUGGAUGGUUAACUCUCGUUUACUCGUCUGGGCUAAGGAAGCCAAAGCUCGAGCCCAUGUGGAGGAACUUAGCUUAGCCAUGGAUAACUUGCAGGUCUGUUGUAAUGCACUACAUGAAGAAGUUCAUGUGUUGUAUUCACAACUACACCCGAACGUCCCUGCGGAUCUUGUCGGGACAGAAGCCGGACCUUCUCAUGAAGCGGGAGAAGCACGUGAUGGAACCGGACCUUUUCAGCCCCCUCCCUCUAUGAAGUUAGUUGACAAAUGGUCUUCUACGCCCGACAGUAAAGCUACCAAAGGUGAAAAGAAGCGGCUUACCAUGUGCCCGUGACAUUGGCCGGACAGGACUUUCCUACUAAUAUGAUUGUUCUGAAAAGCCAAGACAUAAAUGUCAUCUUGGGCAUAAACUGGUUAGCCCAGCGUAAAGCAGUUCUCAACACUGAUCUGAGAACCAUCUGGUUGAGUUAUAACCAAUAGAGAGUUGGUGACUUAAGUGCCUAAACCCAAGAUUUAGGCUAUAUUCGUAUUUAGUGAACCAUAACCCGGCACAAAGUCGAAUUUUCCGUUAUCACUUCAUGACCACACUCGUACAAAUCCGUGCCUAGAUAAUUUCUUUGUCGGACCUAGAGUAUACCUAGACUUCAAACAAGGAUUUUAAGUCAUGUCUCCCUUUAGAGCCAUUCUCUUGAUCAGCUGAUGCAGGUUGCAGUCUCUAGUGUAUUUGGCCUCUCUUUGCGGAUCGUCGUGUUGCUUUAUUAACCCAACCUAGAAAAGACAUGUCCGACCAUUUCCUUGAAUUUGAUACCUUGGGUUUCUUCAUAUCUAUCGAAGGCCUACCAACUUAAUCCUUGACCUUGUGAUUUCUAUGAUGGGCAUAGAAAUAUGCUUGGGCUAAAUUAACAGUCUCCCAUCAUACUCCUUUCAUCAAGUUUAGGUUAUGGCCAUGCCUUGUUCACUUCUUUGGGCCAUGAUCUAUUUGGCGCUCUACUUGUAUCCAUUUUUACUGGUGGAGUAUCCCUUUGUAUGUAGUCACCCUUGCUCAAUCUAUUGGUGUCGCAUGAGGUUUCUUAUUGGUUAUGUCUGGUAAUGGCGUUAUGACUAAAAUCGGUGAUACCGCGCUCAAACCGAGGGCCUCCGGUGGGUGCACACACAUGGUUGCGCUACUUGACAUGCGCUAGUAUCACAGUUAGUAGUCAUAAUCCAUUAUAAGACUAUAUUGAUAUGUUAUCUCUACGCAGAUUAUUCUUGCCUCGUGAGAUUCAGUAUUGGUGCUAGUUUUGUAAUGGUGUCAUGGUUAAGAACGUAUGGUACUGCAGCGAAGCUGAGGGCCUCCUGUGAAUGCGCACACAGGAUUUUGCUGCUUGGCGCCUGCCGGUACCAAGGUCUCUGGUCAUGAUCCAUUGUGAAACUACACUGAUGUGUUGUCUUCCAUUGACCUUUCCUUGAAACAAUUUCUAUGUUGUUUAUAAAAGAGAUCAAGCAACAUCUGUCAUUUCCAUUGGAUCAAAAGGGCAUACCACUUUCAUGUGUGGUCUUAUUUCUUUUGAUCUUGGUAGUGACUCUUCACACAAGUUCCCUUUGCAUCCUUUGUGUAAAGGUGAAGCCUUGGAGCUUUUUAGUAUAAGAAAACAACUGAUUAGCUCUCAAGAUGGAGAUUGGAUUUCCCCUGCUGCUGAAAUGCAGGAGUUUGUUCAUUCGCUCUCUUAUUUAAUCCAUGUAUUCCCUAACCAAGUGGAUAAUUCAUCUUGCAUGAAGAAACGGAUGGACAACAUGACCAAAUGGAUUUUUACCCAAAUGCAUGACCUUUUGCUUGCAAAUAUGAACUCUCAACCCCUUGGCUUACCAAUGGUACUGAGAGGAUUUGCUCAAUGUCAAAAGUAGUUCAACAAGUUGGUUUUGACUAACUUGUAAUUGCCCAAUGAACGAAGGCUGAGUUUAGAGAUCGUUUCAUCGAGUUGUCUAAACUCACUUUAGUUCAACCUACCCCAAAGAAAGUACUUACCAAAAUGAGAUUAAGUCAGCCAAUAGUCACCUAAUCAUCGCUCUAGUCGUGCCUCGACCACCUCACGCAUGUUUUUUCCUGCAUGUGUGAUCAUGCCGAUCCAUGACUAGUGCUGGAUAAAAUGGACUGGUUGCAAAGUCCGCAUUUUUAGAUCCCUCCACUGGUGAUUUUUCUUGAAUCUAUAUCACCUUUCGUAGACUUGGAUCCCUUGGCUUACACGAGUUGACUGUGAUGUUAUUCGACAUUCACACCCGUCUCAUGUAAUAUGAACUUACUGUAACCACUUGUUGAUAAACCUCUUCUUGUGUGUUUUACCCAAGAUGGUGCAUCUGAUUCUAUUUGGGUAAAGUUGCAUAAUUGCCACCCAACAGACUCAGAUAGUACAGUGUCAUAAAAAAAAAGCAAAUUGCACACCUGGAACCUUAUGUGUUCUUCUGGUGGGCAAAAAUGCAAAUUGAAAUUGCACCCUACGUGGCUAGAUGUGACACUUGUAAACAUGUCAAGGCCAUAUACAUGAAGACUGUUGGUCCAUUACAAUCCUUACCUAUCCCAACAUGGAAAGGGGAAGAUAUUGUAUGAACUUCAUCAUGGGAUUACCCAGGAAUACAAAAGGGUAUGACUCUAUCUGGGUUAUUGUUGAUCGGCUUACGAAAAUUUCUCAUUUUCUGCCCGUCAAGACAAAUUAUCCGGUUACUGUCUAUGCCCAAUUGUACAUUGCUUGUAUUCUUAGUCUGCAUGGUGUCUCGAAGACCGUGGUGUCGGAUCGUGGAUCACAAUUCGUAUCCAAAUUUUGGGAAGAACUUCAUGAAUCCCUGGGUACUAAGUUGCUCCACAGUUCGGCCUAUCAUCUUCAAACCAGUGGGCAGACUGAGAGGGUAAACCAAAUACUGGAAGAUAUGCUACGGGCAUGUGUUUGGAAUUCCCACUGAAAUGGGAUGAAUGCUUGCUCUUAGCGGAGUUUUUAUAUAAUAAUAGCUAUCAAGAAAACAUCAAGAUGGCACCCUUCGAAGCUUUAUAUGGACGACGAUGUCGUACUCCGCUAAAUUGGUCUGAACCUGGAGAAAGGUACUUCUUUAGGCCUGAUAUGGUGAAAGAGGUCGAAGAAAAGGUUCAGAGAAUUAUUCAUAAUAUGAAGAAAGCUCAGACUCGACAAAAGAGUUAUGCAGACCGACGAUGACAACCCUUACGCUUUCUGGUAGACGACUGUGUCUACUUAAAAGUUUCACCAAUGAAGGGUGUAUCGCGUUUCGGGGUUAAAGGGAAGCUUGCACCCAGGUACAUUGGUCCAUUCUUGGUGCUUGAGCAAUGUGGACCAAUGGCGUACCGACUUCAACUACCCGAAACAUUGUCUGUUGUGCAUAAUGUGUUCCACGCGUCACAAUUGAAGAAGUGUCUUCGGGUUCCUGAUCGAACCGUUGAAGUAACUGAUGUUGUCCUGGAACCAGAUUUAACAUACUCGGAACAUUCUAUUCGAGUUCUGGAUCAAAAGGACAGGGUUACCCGAAGAAAGACUCUUAAGUUCUACAAGAUACAGUGGAACCAACAUUCUGAAGAUGAGGCUACAUGGGAAACUCAAAACUUCUUGAAUAAGAAUUUCCCAGGCUUUUUAGCCUCUUGUAAAUUGUAAAGCCUGUGUAACUGUGUAAUAGAGAAGUAACCCCCACAUUACCCAUACCUUGUACCAAAACUUAAGAAAUAAAAAUGUGAUGUGUUUCCUUUACCAUUACCUACCCUAGGAUUUUUAAUCUCGGGACGAGAUUCUUUUAUGGGGGGAAGGAUGUAACACCCCUGGUGUUACUAUAACUAAAACUUGAGCAUGACAUCAUAAGCAUUGGCAUUGCAUAUGUUUGACACACCUAGAGUGCAUUCACUAGGCAAAAAUUUCAAACAAGUUGUAUUGUUUUAAUGUUUUUGCAAAUAGAACCCUGGUUAAAGGACUUAACCCUAAAUAGUGGUUAAAGGGGUAAAACUUAACCCAAGUUGAGAAAACCUAAAAGCUUUAGGGUAAAAGUCAUAAAAUGACCCCAAGAAUAAACUUGAAUCACCUUUAUACCCUUGGGAUACCAGAAAACCCUAAUUGGAGCCCUGGAAAACCCUGAAACCAAGCCCUAGGGGCUUAUGUGCAAAAGUGGUGAACCUUGGGACUAAAGUGUAAAAACUACUAUGUUUGAACAUAUAUAGUCAUUUGGUUCACAAGUAUGUGAAUUUGAAAGCCAAACCCUAAGUUUUGGGCUCAUUUGCAAAAAGGACCUUGAGUUUGAUUCCUAUGCUAAGUCUGAAAACAGGGUUAUAGGCCCAACUUUGGGGCUGUGUAACUUUCAAAAUAAUGAGAAUUCAUGUUAGGUGAUCACAUCAAAGUUAAAGACCUAACAUAGGAGAACAACUUUGCUUAAGAAGGAAAGCAUAGUUGUUAAGCAAAAGUCAGAGAUAAUUAAGCCCCAAGUUUGGCUGUCAGGCUGGUCCAUUCUGAAAUUCAGAUUCUCAGUGGAACAGAGCCAACUUGGUGUGUGAAUUCAAACUUGAAUUGUUGAGAAAUUGAUCAAGGUUGCUGUGACAAAGCUGUAGCUGGCUUGUCAGGCUAUAAUUUUGGUACAGGGAGUUAGCUUGGUCACCACACAAGAUUGGGAGAAAAUUGAGCUCAAAAACGGUCUGUCAGGAUGACUGAACACCAUUCGCCAUGGUACAGUAAGCUCCAACCUGAAGAAGAUCCUAUCCCUCUGCUCGUCGCCGGUGGCCCGUCGCCGUUGAUCACCGCUUGCCGUGAUUCGUGCGCCGUCGCCAUGGAUAAGCACAACCCAGUAAAGAUCUCGGCGUCUAAUCCACUCAAGCUUGGCUACGGCUAAGACCGCCGCACUUCACCGCCCCAGCUCACCGUCGGUUGGAUGACCUCGUCACCGAUAAGCCACCACCGUCGCGCACCACGUGUCUCAGCGCGGAACUUCCUCGCGGUGACUCACCGGUUGCAUGCCCGGCGAUCACCGGAGGGAGCGCCACGGUGAAAGCCACCCACUCCUUGCUCAUGUGUCCAUGUUCCUUCCGGCUGCCAGUAUGACCUUGCGAAAUUGGACACCACCGUCGAUGGGGUCUAUAAAUUGAGUGCGCCACAAUCUCCGUAGGGCAGUAAACUAUCCAGCCACCACGAAUCAGCCGCAACCAUUCGCUAGAAUUCACGAAUUUUGAAUUCGCCCCAAAUCUGUUUCCGCCGCCGUGAAGAACAGCUCGCUGCGGCCAGCUCGAUUCCGGUUAGCUCGCGCCCCUCUGUUUCUUGUUCUAGAGUCCCCAUGUGCCCUUGAUGCUCACCAAACCAUCCAAUUACACUAGAAGCCCACCAAUCGCUGGGAACACGAACUAACAUCCAUGGUUUCCGCUGUCCCCGUGGGCAGAACGAAAUAGGUCGCCAAUCAUGCAAUUGACUUAGGGGAAAUACUCCUUAGGGGUAGAAUCAGGUGUGAACCAAAGAUUAGCGUCGGUCUUCGCCAUCUCCGGCCGGUAUAGCUCGCCAGAUUUCGGUUUCCCGUGCGGAGCUCCGCCGAGGACCGGACGCAGUGAAGGAAUAGAACGUGAAGGGUUUGUCUGCAAUUUGUCAGUGACUCGUGUAAACUGUGUAUGUGCCCACUUGCGGUUAUCCAAAGAGGACUGGGUCUUUCUGCGAAAUUUCCACCGCGGGCGUGGGCGCGUGCGCAAGCGCGCUUCUGUGCGAAGUUGGGCCGCCUAGGCCAGUUUGAGCCCAAGACUGUUUAGAGUUUUUCUUUUUCUUUUUCAGCAGAACUUUGAAAAAGUGUAGAAAAUGGUAGGAAAAUCAUAAAAAUAUGAGACCAAUUUUCUAAGAACCCUAAUUUCCUGUAGUAAUUAAUAAAAAUAAACUCAUGAUUUUUAGAUCAAAUAGGGAAUUUUAGAGUAUUUAAAAUAGCCUAAACUGCUGGUUCUAGAUUUUUAGAAAAUAGAUAAUAAUCCCAAAAUUUCCCAAACUUUUUAUGGGAGCAUUUCACAAUAUUUAGAAGCCUUGGGUAGAGUUUGGCUUGAUUUGAACAUUGUUUGAUAACUAGAACCCAAAAACCCUACCCCUGCCCUAUGAACUCCUUUACCGACUCCGGAAACCCUAGGUUCCCGGAAUCCCGUGAAGGAAAGUUGUACUCAAGACUUAGUUAAUAAAUCCUUAUUACCUUUGCACUCUCAUAAACAUUACAUGGCAUUCAUUCUUAUAUAUAUACCUAUAUGGCUAUAUUUAGAGAACGAAGAAGAGAGUGAAGUGACUCAAAGAGAAGACACCACCACCACCUUUGGAAUCUCAGGCAGAGACUUGGCUCUACUUCGACAACUGCGAGUCCGAGCCUGACUCACCUACUAACGAAGGCAAGCCCCGGUGCAUGCAACCCCAUUCCUUGUGUUCUAAAUACUUUUCGCACACUUUAAGUCUAGUGAAAUGUGCAUUAAGUUCAUAGGAAUUGCUUGAAACCCUUUGAUGCAUUGCUUUCCUUGAUAUCCAUACCUUUAUAGAUACUUCUGUGAAGUAUCAAAAUUAUGAUUUACAAAAAUGCUUAGCCUUGCUUAGAUCUUGUGGAUAGAGGUUGUCCUCAAUUUAACCCGGGAGAGGAUGGCUUCUACCUGCAAGAAUAUUUUCAUUUGGAGCAAUAGUGGGAUCUUACUGCAAAGUUCCCCGUGAUGCUCUUUCAUCCUAAGGAACAGACACAAUCCUACGGAUGGAAAUACUUAAAUCGAGACUUGGGCUAGGAACAGGUGAUGCUCCGCCCGGGUCAAUUAAGGAUUGGAUGCGUAUGUAGGCCUGUUGAUCAAGGACUAUCUUAUCUAGCCACAUGCCCUGAGAAUGGGACAGGGUAAGCUUGAACCCGGCUAUUCCAUUCAUGAAAAGACAAUCGCGCACUGGGCGUGGAGAGAUGGCGAGAGUGGCACGUACCCUCCUGGCAACGGAUCGCCUCAAAGGGGUGGUGUACUCUCGGGUGGCGCGGACCUGUUCAUGCAGUGGAGGAUCCAUGGGAAUAGUAGACAUCAAGGUUUACGAGAAACAUAUGUUGUGUGGUUAGAGAUCCUCAGCUGAGUAAAUCGAUUCAGAUCGCCGUUAUAUCCCCGGACAGUGGAGACUUGAGCUCCGACCUACAACCUAAGUCA
rnacentral:lncRNA from 1 species